rnacentral:rRNA from 1 species
CAAGAGCGUAUAUUAAAGUUGUUGCAGUUAAAAAGCUCGUAGUUGGAUUUCUGGUACAACGCGCCUGGCCCGCUUACGUGAGUGCCGGUGCGCGUUUGCCAUCCUUCUAGAAAACGUCUCUACUCGGGCAACUGAGCCGGAUUCGCGAUCUAGAUCUUUUACUGUGAGCAAAAUAGAGUGUUCAAAGCAGGCUUAUGCCGUUGAAUAUAUUAGCAUGGAAUAAUAAGAUAUGACUUUGGUCUAUUUUGUUGGUUUGCUUUCCAAAGUAAUGAUUAAUAGGGAUAGUUGGGGGUAUUCGUAUUCAAUUGUCAGAGGUGAAAUUCUUGGAUUUAUGGAAGACGAACUACUGCGAAAGCAUUUACCAAGGAUGUUUUCAUUAAUCAAGAACGAAAGUUAGGGGAUCGAAGACGAUUAGAUACCAU